rnacentral:rRNA from 1 species
GACGAACGCUGGCGGCGUGCCUAAUACAUGCAAGUAGAACGCUGAAGGAGGAGCUUGCUUCUCUGGAUGAGUUGCGAACGGGUGAGUAACGCGUAGGUAACCUGCCUGGUAGCGGGGGAUAACUAUUGGAAACGAUAGCUAAUACCGCAUAAUAGUAGAUGUUGCAUGACAUUUGCUUAAAAGGUGCAAUUGCAUCACUACCAGAUGGACCUGCGUUGUAUUAGCUAGUUGGUGAGGUAACGGCUCACCAAGGCGACGAUACAUAGCCGACCUGAGAGGGGGGUCGGCCACACUGGGACUGAGACACGGCCCAGACUCCUACGGGAGGCAGCAGUAGGGAAUCUUUGGCAAUGGACGGAAGUCUGACCGAGCAACGCCGCGUGAGUGAAGAAGGUUUUCGGAUCGUAAAGCUCUGUUGUAAGAGAAGAACGAGUGUGAGGGUGGAAAGUUCACACUGUGACGGUACCUUACCAGAAAGGGACGGCUAACUACGUG